rnacentral:tRNA from 1 species
GCCCGGGUAGCUCAGCCGGUAGAGCGUUGGACUUUUAAUCCUACGGUCAGGGCA